rfam:Triticum aestivum genome assembly, contig: Triticum_aestivum_CS42_TGACv1_scaffold_288337_4AL
AAAAUACUCCCUCUGUCCCAAAAUCCUUGUCUUAGAUUUGUCUAAAUACAGACGUAUCAAGUCAUGUUUUAGUAUUAGAUACAUCCGUAUCUAGACAAAACUAAGACAAGAAUUUUGGGACGGAGGGAGUACAUA